AUCGUCAAGAUAGUUUGUCACAGUAUGAAAGUAAUAAUAUCCUUUAUGAAGCUAGAGAUCUUUACCUAUCUGGAACACUCAGAAGCUGAUUGGUCAAAAAGCUACAGCCAACCAGAUCGACUGAAGAUCUCCUUUAUAAACUACAAAGCUGAUGGCAAGGUUACUGGACAGGACCAGCCUACAGGACGUCGAGUCGUCCACAAGCACUAGUAAUAAUGACGGCUUACCGCUGAUCCCUAAUGUCCAUUUUAGCACAGCAAUGGCCGCUGAUGGUGGAAUGAUUGUUUCCCAGUCGCAGGCUGCCUCCGCACUUCAAACUGAAGCACAGGCUUCAACGUUGGAUGACAGUCAGACAAGACCCUCUGAUUUGGCCCAAAUGCUAUCAAGCUUACAAAAUACAGGAGAUCUGAACGCACUGCUUCAACAACAGCCAAAUCUUCUCCAAGAGCUGAGUACCAUAGCAGCUGCUGGAGAAGUGAGCUCUAACCCAGAGCCACUAUCGUUUCAGUAUGAGGGUGACUCCAAUCCGGAGCCACCCACCACCAGAAGCUUACCAGGAUCAUCUAAACCAGUUGUAUACAGGGAACAGGAUCGUUUUCUGCCAAUUCAUAAUGUAGCAAGGAUCAUGAGAAAUGCUAUCCCUAAGAGUGGAAAGGUAUCAAAGGAAGCUAAGGAGUGUAUACAAGAAUGUGUUUCAGAGUUUAUCAGCUUCAUCACAAGCGAAGCGAGUGACAGAUGCUUGCAAGAAAAGCGUAAAACAAUUACAGGCGAUGACAUUCUGUUCGCUAUGGCAACUCUUGGAUUUGACAACCAUAUCGACCCCUUGAGAAUUUAUCUGCAAAAAUAUCGAGAACACACAAAGACAGACAAGGCAGGUAGCCCUCCUCUGAGUUCAUCUAAUGACAUUAACCCAGUUCCAGAAGUAACCAGAACUAUGUCCCUGGAUGAACUGUCAGUCUCCUCUAUGCCACCACUGUCUGCCUCACACCCUCUAGGAGUGUCUGUGAGCAACGUAUCCGCAAUGAUACAGGCUGCUAUGACUGAUACAUCACUGGAGAAUAUGUCAACAACUCAUCUGCAAUAGCUUUCCAAGAUUCUGUGACUACAAACCUACACGAACUAUUUAGCGAACAUUUCUUCAUCUUUGCACUUACACACUUCAUCAUCCAACCAACGAAGCCGAUAUAUAAUCACUAUACAAUCAUGAAGUACUCUGUGGCUAUUUUCACCGCUGUCAUCUCUGCUACCAUUCUCAUCAGCUGUGCUGACAUUUUGCACGCCCAAAAGGUGCAGAGUCCUACCUGCCAAACUGGCUACGCAACGAUGAUAGUCAACAACAAAUGUAAAUGUGUCAAAGUAUCACCACUUUGGCCAAAAUGUAGUACAAAUUUCAACCUGGAAACUAUCAAUGGAGAGUGCAAGUGCAGGUGCAGGACAACUAAUUGGUGUCCCAGUGGCCAGAAAUGGGACUCUAACAUCUGUGCUUGUGUGAAUGACAAUGACAACGACAACGACGUAUGCACACUGUUAUGUCGCUUUCCUAAGGUCCGACACCGAACGCAAUGUAGGUGUGUCUGCUCAAACUCAUGUCCUGGAACUUUCCCAGAUCCCUUCACGUGCAAUUGCCCCUUAUGUGAUUUUGAGGGCAACUGUAGCGUCGAACCAUGAUCAGCUCAUGUCAUCCACUGUACGAGUGAACUUGAUCCAAAUACUUUAAUUAGUUAUGGAAAGAACAAACAAAUGUUAGCCUGCUGCUUAUAAUCAAAUAGACUAUAGUGAUAAUAAUUAUUAUUGUGUAUACUGA